AUUAUGUAAAUAUCUAAUUAGAUUUACAAAUGUUAAUUUUUGACAGUAAGCAAAAUCUUAUUAUUAUAAAUUCAAUCCAUUAUGUCCAUAUACCUACCAUCAAUGGAGAGGACUUAUAUAGGCUAUAAGCCUGUUGUCCAAUCCUUUUGACAGUGUAACAUUCUUCUAUGUCAAUAAAAUAUGUUGAAAUGAAAAAAAUUGACACACCUUCCAUUUACACCAAGGAGUCUAUGAAAGCGUACAAGUCGCUAGAUGCAUACAUGUAUGUAGUUAGUGGACAUGUGCAGGAGAUUUCCUCACACCAAGUGUU
rnacentral:misc_RNA from 1 species